rnacentral:rRNA from 1 species
ACGGCGAGACAGUGGGCCCCUAAACUCUGUUUCUAUAUGUAAGGUCUGAGGAAAACCAUAAAUAAAUCAAAACUUUCAACAACGGAUCUCUUGGUUCUGGCAUCGAUGAAGAACGCAGCAAAAUGCGAUAAGUAAUGUGAAUUGCAGAAUUCAGUGAAUCAUCGAAUCUUUGAACGCACAUUGCGCCCGCCAGUAUUCUGGCGGGCAUGCCUGUUCGAGCGUCAUUUCAACCCUCAAGCACAGCUUGGUGUUGGGACUCGCGUUAAUUCGCGUUCCUCAAAUUGAUUGGCGGUCACGUCGAGCUUCCAUAGCGUAGUAGUAAAACCCUCGUUACUGGUAAUCGUCGCGGCCACGCCGUUAAACCCCAACUUCUGAAUGUUGACCUCGGAUCAGGUAGGAAUACCCGCUGAACUUAA